UGGCAUAGUGGUUAAGUGCUGUGGCUUCUAACCAAAAGGUCAGUAGUUCAAAUCUACU
rnacentral:tRNA from 1 species